rnacentral:rRNA from 1 species
UACGUAUGGUGCAAGCGUUAUCCGGAUUUACUGGGUGUAAAGGGUGCGUAGGUGGUAGUGCAAGUCAGAAGUGAAAACUAUGGGCUCAACCCAUAGACUGCUUCUGAUACUGUUCAACUAGAGUGCAGGAGAGGAAAGUGGAAUUCCUAGUGUAGCGGUGGAAUGCGUAGAUAUUAGGAGGAACACCAGUGGCGAAGGCGGCUUUCUGGACUGCAACUGACACUGAGGCACGAAAGCGUGGGGAGCAAAC